UAGCAUCUUACCCAGCCAUGAUCUUAAUGUUUGAACAAAGAUUAAAAUUUUUUAACUAAAUAAUAUUUUCGUGAGAAGGGUUCAUAAUUGGGAGAUGCAAAUAUUAGAAUCAUUCUCUUGUCUGUUUAUCCCUUUUUUUCAGUUUGCAUAAUUAAUACCACUAGAUUUGAUAUCAAUUUAUGUAAUUAUUGUAUUGCUUGUUUUAUCGGUGAGCAUGUUAAUGGAGUUUUAUUUGUUUCUCUACAUUUAAGCUCUCUAUUUGGACUUCAAAGUCUAGAAGCAAGUGCAAAUAUCUGUGUUAUUUACUUUUGGAAAGUUUGAGCUGUGGAAACUGUAUGGUA
rnacentral:misc_RNA from 1 species